rnacentral:rRNA from 1 species
GGCGCACGGGUGAGUAUAGCGUUUGUAACCUACCUCUAACUGGAGAAUAGCCCGAAGAAAUUCGGAUUAAUACUCCAUAAUACUAUGAUCUGGCAUCUUUUUAUAGUUAAAGCUCCGGCGGUUAGAGAUGGGCAUGCGUGACAUUAGUUUGUUGGUGAGGUAAGAGCUCACCAAGACUACGAUGUCUAGGGGGUCUGAGAGGAUGGUCCCCCACACUGGUACUGAGACACGGACCAGACUCCUACGGGAGGCAGCAGUGAGGAAUAUUGGUCAAUGGGCGCAAGCCUGAACCAGCCAUGCCGCGUGAAGGAUGACGGCGCUAUGCGUUGUAAACUUCUUUUGUACAGGAAGAAACACUUCUACGUGUAGAAGCUUGACGGUACUGUACGAAUAAGCAUCGGCUAACUCCGUGCCAGCAGCCGCGGUAAUACGGAGGAUGCAAGCGUUAUCCGGAUUUAUUGGGUUUAAAGGGUACGUAGGCGGAAAAUUAAGUCAGUGGUGAAAUCCUGCAGCUUAACUGUAGAACUGUCAUUGAUACUGGUUUUCUUGAAUAUAGUUGAGGUAGGCGGAAUGUGUAAUGUAGCGGUGAAAUGCUUAGAUAUUACACAGAACACCGAUUGCGAAGGCAGCUUACUAAACUAUGAUUGACGCUGAGGUACGAAAGCGUGGGGAGCGAACAGGAUUAGAUACCCUGGUAGUCCACGCCGUAAACGAUGAUCACUC